AUUUCUACUCCUUUCACUUUUUAAUUUCCAAGAAGUCAUGUGAUUUGGUUUUUGACGCAUUUUUUUAAAAAAACAUCUGAUAUCACAUAGCCUAUUUAUCUGCCAAACGUUUCACUUUCUGGACAGACAGAUCUGAAGAACUCACUGAACGAGCUCCAAAAUGCCUUUCCAACUCUGCGUUAAUACACCCACUGGAGAAGAAAAGAUUGUCGAUGUGUGCGACAAUAAAGAUCAGCUGAAGAACAUCACUGGAGAGCAAUUUAAAGAGAAUCUUCGUAAAGAACUGGGGAUAAAUGAAGACUUUCGUAUUAUUGUCAACGCCAAGCAGGUGGAGGAAGAGGCCACUCUGGACUCCACUGGGAUCAACCAUUUGUCCACAGUUUAUACAGUACCGAAACUGUCCGGAGGCACAUCUGAUGAAGAAUAAACCCCACAGGGUCUCAAGAAAGCCAUGAACCAUGUAUGAACAAAUCAAUUUUUCAUUUUUAAAGUCAUUAAGUUUCAUAUUUCUUUGCAUUGUGACUACAAGCUACUGUGUUGUCAAGCCAAUAUCAAAUCUUCUGUUAAGAAAAUUGAUACGGUGCCACAAAUCUGUAUUCCGUUUCUUUUAUGUAAAUGUGUCAUCUUCAUAUAAACUGACUGAAAACAAUGUGGUGUGUGAUAAUAACAUGUUAAUAAAUUCUACUUGUCUCA